rnacentral:rRNA from 1 species
GAUGAACGCUGGCGGCGUGUCUAACACAUGCAAGUCGAACGCGAGUAUACUUUCCACUGCGGGAUGCGAUAUCGAUCGCACCCGGAGUGGAGAGUAUGCUUGAGUGGCGAACGGGUGAGUAACACAUGAAUAACCUGCCGUAGAUACCGGAAUACCUUAGGGAAACUUAAGUUAAUACCGGAUAAGCCUACAAGCUUCGCAUGGAGCAGUAGGAAAAGAUUUUAUCGAUCUACGAUGGAUUCGUGUUCAAUUAGCUAGUUGGUGAGAUAACAGCUCACCAAGGCUACGAUUGAUAGCCGAGAUGAGAGUCUGAUCGGCCACAUUGGGACUGAGACACGGCCCAAACUCCUACGGGAGGCAGCAGUGAAGAAUAUUGCACAAUGGGGGCAACCCUGAUGCAGCAACGCCGCGUGAAGGAUGAAGGCUUUCGAGUUGUAAACUUCUUUAAGUUGGGAAAAAUAAAAUGAUGGUACCAACAGAAUAAGCUCCGGCUAAAUACGUGCCAGCAGCCGCGGUAAUACGUAUGGAGCAAGCGUUAUCCGGAAUUACUGGGUGUAAAGGGUGAGUAGGCGGCUUUUUAAGUCAUAUGUGAAAGCCCGGGGCUCAACCCCGGCGAGCAUAAGAAACUAUUAAGCUAGAGUAUGGGAGAGGCAAGCGGAAUUCCUAGUGUAGCGGUGGAAUGCGUAGAUAUUAGGAAGAACACCGGUGGCGAAGGCGGCUUGCUGGACCAUAACUGACGCUGAGUCACGAAAGCGUGG